GCCCAGCCCAGCCCGGCAACCACUGGACCACCAGGGAGGUAAUGAACCCCCCCCCCCAGCACUCCCAAAAGGUAAGGAGGUUGGGGGGGGGGGUGAAUAAAAAAAAAUGUGUUAAUGUGAGUGAGUGUUUGUCAGUGAGUGUGUGUCUGUUAAUGUGUGUGAGUUUUGUUAGUGUGUGUGUCUGACUGUGUGAGUGAGUGUGUGAGUGAGUGAGUGUGUGCCUGUUAGUGUGUGUCUGACUGUGUGUGUCUGUUAGUGUGUAUGUGUGUGUCUGACUGUGUGUCAGUGAGUGUGUGUUUGCCUGUGAGUGUGUAUAUGUGUCUGUUAGUGUGUGUGUGUCUGUUAGUGUGAGUGUGUUUGCCUGUGAGUGUGUGUGUCAGUGAGUGUGUGUCUG